rnacentral:rRNA from 1 species
GUACGGGGGGGCAAGCGUUGUUCGGAAUUACUGGGCGUAAAGGGCUCGCAGGCGGCCCACCAAGUACGAUGUGAAAUCCUCCCUGCUCAACGGGGAGGUGCACUGUAAACUGGUGAGCUAGAGGACGGUAGAGGGGGUGGAAGUUGCUGGUGUAGCGGUGAAAUGCGUAGAGAUCAGCAGGAACACCCGUGGCGAAGGCG